rnacentral:ncRNA from 1 species
UGAUUUCCAAGGAACGGAUAAGUACGAGAAUUGCUUAGUGUCAGAGAGCCGGAGAAUUGCUGCAAUCCGGUCUAAGCUGAUUCUUGGAAUAUGGUCCGGGAGGAACUGCCUUCAAGCGACAGAGAUUGUUUUCUUUGCGUAAGGGGACGGCGUGUGCCAGCGUUAAUGGACGGUUCUCGUUAAUAACGAAACCGAUGGAGCCUACAAUCUGUGAGGAUGUAGGGAAAUUGGGUGGUAACACGUGAGAUAACUCUCGUCCCAUAU